GACGAACGCUGGCGGCGUGCUUAACACAUGCAAGUCGAACGGAAAGGCCCUGCUUUUGUGGGGUGCUCGAGUGGCGAACGGGUGAGUAACACGUGAGUAACCUGCCCUUGACUUUGGGAUAACUCUAGGAAACUGGGGCUAAUACCGGAUAGGAGCUCCUGCUGCAUGGUGGGGUUUGGAAAGUUUCGUCGGUUGGGGAUGGACUGGCGGCUUAUCAGCUUGUUGGUGGGGUAGUGGCUUACCAAGCCUUUGACGGGUAGCCGGCCUGGGAGGGUGACCGGCCACAUUGGGACUGGGAUACGGCCCAGACUCCAACGGGAGGCAGCGGUGGGGAAUAUUGCACAAUGGGCGGAAGCCUGAUGCAGCAACGCCGCGUGCGGGAUGACGGCCUUCGGGUGGUAAACCGCUUUCGCAUGUGACAAGGCGUGAGUGACGGUAAUGGGUAAAGAAGCACCGGCUAACUACGUG
rnacentral:rRNA from 1 species